rnacentral:rRNA from 1 species
AGAGUUUGAUCCUGGCUCAGGACGAACGCUGGCGGCGCGCCUAACACAUGCAAGUCGAACGAGAGAGAAGGAGCUUGCUUCUUCGAUCGAGUGGCGAACGGGUGAGUAACGCGUGAGGAACCUGCCUCAAAGAGGGGGACAACAGUUGGAAACGACUGCUAAUACCGCAUAAGCCCACGGGUCGGCAUCGACCUGAGGGAAAAGGAGCAAUCCGCUUUGAGAUGGCCUCGCGUCCGAUUAGCUAGUUGGUGAGGUAACGGCCCACCAAGGCGACGAUCGGUAGCCGGACUGAGAGGUUGAACGGCCACAUUGGGACUGAGACACGGCCCAGACUCCUACGGGAGGCAGCAGUGGGGAAUAUUGCACAAUGGGGGAAACCCUGAUGCAGCGACGCCGCGUGGAGGAAGAAGGUCUUCGGAUUGUAAACUCCUGUUGUUGAGGAAGAUAAUGACGGUACUCAACAAGGAAGUGACGGCUAACUACGUGCCAGCAGCCGCGGUAAAACGUAGGUCACAAGCGUUGUCCGGAAUUACUGGGUGUAAAGGGAGCGCAGGCGGGAAGACAAGUUGGAAGUGAAAUCUAUGGGCUCAACCCAUAAACUGCUUUCAAAACUGUUUUUCUUGAGUAGUGCAGAGGUAGGCGGAAUUCCCGGUGUAGCGGUGGAAUGCGUAGAUAUCGGGAGGAACACCAGUGGCGAAGGCGGCCUACUGGGCACCAACUGACGCUGAGGCUCGAAAGUGUGGGUAGCAAACAGGAUUAGAUACCCUGGUAGUCCACACCGUAAACGAUGAUUACUAGGUGUUGGAGGAUUGACCCCUUCAGUGCCGCAGUUAACACAAUAAGUAAUCCACCUGGGGAGUACGACCGCAAGGUUGAAACUCAAAGGAAUUGACGGGGGCCCGCACAAGCAGUGGAGUAUGUGGUUUAAUUCGACGCAACGCGAAGAACCUUACCAAGUCUUGACAUCCCUUGACGAACAUAGAAAUAUGUUUUCUCUUCGGAGCAAGGAGACAGGUGGUGCAUGGUUGUCGUCAGCUCGUGUCGUGAGAUGUUGGGUUAA